UAAUGCAGGUGCGUGCGGCGCACACACGCACAUGGUUUAUUCGAAGAAGCAAACACACACACACACACACUCAGGCGACGAUGAGUAAUAUAUCAUCAAAGGAUAUAAUGGAGACAUUAAUUUCCUCGAUCAGCUACUGCUGAUCCUCCUUCUUCGAGAAAUAGCUGGCACAGCCACGCCGAAGCCAUGAUUCAUCGCCAUGUUCCUCUUUUAGUGCUUGAUCCUGACGCUGCGGCUUCUUAGGUGUAAGAACAGGUUUAUUUUUAUGUGCUCUGAUGUCUUUCUUCACCUGCUUAGGGACAUUGUCACAGUCCAGAUCAAGCUCCUUCAAUUUCUCAACAUUGCCAAUGCCAGGGAGAGGCUCCAACUCAGCGAAGGACGGCCGUGACCAGAUGAUCUUCUCAAGGUACGGCGGAAUCGGUGGCUCGACGCAAAGCAUCUCGCCCCCCCCCCUCCCCCCCACGCAUCACCACGAUUUCUGCUUCUCCUCCCGGCAGGCGGCGGCGCUGCCCCCGACCCCCCGACGCAGGCACCGCAUCACCGCAUCUCUCCCGAGCCCCCGACGGAUCACUGCAUCACCGCGGUUUCCGCUAGUCCUCCCGGCAGGCGGCGGCGCUGGUCGCGCCACCCCCGAGCCCCCGGCGCGGUAUUUGUUUUCCCAUAUAUUUUCUGUAAUUAGUUUUUGCCAAACUGAUUGAAAGGUUCUUUAGCGGUUGACAAGGUAUUCCGAGGCCUUCUUGCAGGUAUAUGAACCUCAACUCUAUUGUUUUGUAACAAAAACAAAUCAUUCAAUUGCGACUGUAGUUUAUGAUAGAGUAUCUGCAGAGUUUUCCACUGAUACUGAACAAUGGCACUGCAUAAAUUGUUUCUUUAUGUUAUUUCGAAAGUUUGCAAGUUAUUUCCUCGUUAAUUUCAGUAUUUUGAAAUUUGAAUGGCUGGGUUAUCAGAUCAGUAUCUGAUCCGAUGUGUUCAAUUUGCAUUGUUGUAUUUAAGCCGAAAGAGACCCCCUCGCUGCUGGAGCAAACAACUGCCGGCAGGAAGGUGUGGCAAUAUCUGGCUUGCUAGAUGGAACUGGAGAUUAUGAAGGUGACAGGGUGCUUGUUGGAGAUGUGCCGUGGGGGAUGUUUGUUUCUUCAGUUAAGAGACUGAGAGUACUGAAGACAUCUGACCUAUCUUCAUCUCUUAUAACUUCUGGACGGAAAAGAACAGCAGCUGAGUGUUGACCUUCUUUUUUCGAUCUGCUUUAACACUUUCAGUGACCUGCUGUUCAGAAGAAUAUGAUCCUCUGAGCUUGUAUCAUCGUCUCUUUCUCUCAAUGUCUUGCUGUGCUGAGCUUGUAACCAGCCAUUAGAGAAGACAGUCCGAGAUUAGGGCAAAAGGAUAGCUCCAUCCAAGAGACGAAGGCCAUUCAGUGAGACAUUGCACACAAAUAACCAAUAAGGGUCAGGUUCUUAGUGAGAGAUGGUGAAACAGAAGGGAGCUCCAGUAGCAUGUUUUGGUUCUUGAAGCCUUGCACAUUUCUAGUGGAGUAACAGCAAAAUAACCAGAAGCUUUGAAGAACUGCACUUUAUGUAGUCAGGAUACAUUAUUUCAUUCUAUUCGAUUCCAAUUUGGCCAAUUCAUAUGAUCGACAUUUUUGUCAGGAAAUAAACAGCAAGCAAUGUAUAGUUACUUACCAAAGUGAUACAUGUUUGAGAGAUUCUUUCCAUAUGUUGGGUUCAAGAUAUAGAAAAAUAUUGUUCUUAUGUGGCUUAA